rnacentral:rRNA from 1 species
CCUACGGGAGGUAGCAGUGGGGAAUAUUGCGCAAUGGGCGAAAGCCUGACGCAGCGAAGCCGCGUGAGGGAUGAAGGUCUUCGGAUCGUAAACCCCUGUCAGCAGGGAAGAACGGUCACUGUGCUAAUCAGCAGUGAAUUGACGGUACCUGAAACGGAAGCACAGGCUAACUCCGUGCCAGCAGCCGCGGUAAUACGGAGGGUGCGAGCGUUAAUCGGAAUUACUGGGAGUAAAGCGAUCGUAGGCGGUAUGUCAAGUCAAGGGUGAAAUCCCCGCGCACAACGUGGGAACUGCCUUUGAAACUGGCAAACUGGAGUGUGUGAGAGGAUAGUGGAAUGCCAGGUGUAGGAGUGAAAUCCGUAGAUAUCUGGAGGAACAUCAGUUGCGAAGGCGACUAUCUGGCACAUAACUGACGCUGAGGAGCGAAAGCGUGGGUAGCAAACAGGAUUAGAUACCCUGGUAGUC